GCCGCUGCUACUGCUGCAAGUGGGAUAGCUGCUCAUCACACACCACCAGUUCAGUUCCCAAACCCGAUCCUCAUUACACGCCCAAGUGUUGCUGCUGUUGCCUACUCAAAACCGCGAUCUGUAGUGAUUCUGCCCUAUCCUUUCCCUCUCCACCUCCGCUGUAGACUGUGAAGGAGCAACAAUUUUUAAAGCAAAUGUUUAUUCGUCUUUCUCUUAAGCGGAGCUGGUGCACAUUCGGGGGUCUGCAUUUUGCGGAAUCACGCUGAUACUGCAGACACCAGAGAAAGAAAGAGGAGAAAGGUUAUUUCCUUUACUUUCUUAUCCUUAUUCGUACAGCAUAUCUGGAGAUCUUGAAGACUGAACUGUUGAGGAUUCGCAGCUGGAAUCAAAAUGAGAUCUGUUUUGAACAUGUGAAGUACCAGGUAAUAAAAGGCACUCUGAAAUUCAUGUAAUGAGUAUCAGAUUUGAUUAUCCUAAAUUUAUAGAUACUUAUUAAAUUUUAUGUUUCUUUUCCCCACCCGACAACUAUCCCUGACUUUCCAUUGUCUCAUAGAGGUUUUGUGAAAUUGUACUGAAACAUAUCCAUGAAACAUUCCAUAAAUUCAGAAAAGCCAAUACAUAAAUAAAUAAUUCUCUCUUCUGAAAAAAUAAAAUAAAUAAAUAAAAAUGAUUCGUAAAUAAAUCAAAUUGAGAUACA
rnacentral:lncRNA from 1 species